rnacentral:rRNA from 1 species
UACCACGCGAGUGGAUGCCAAUCCCCAAAACCCUCUCUCAGUUCGGACUGGAGUCUGCAACCCGACUCCACGAAGCUGGAUUCGCUAGUAAUCGCGCAUCAGCCACGGCGCGGUGAAUACGUUCCCGGGCCUUGUACACACCGCCCGUCAAGCCAUGGGGAGCCGGGGGGUACCUGAAGUGCGUAACCGCGAGGAGCGCCCUAGGGUAAAACUGGUGACUGGGGCUAAGUCGUAACAAGGUACC